AGAGAGGCGCUACAAAUCAUGG
rnacentral:siRNA from 1 species